UACGGGGGGGGCAAGCGUUGUUCGGAAUUACUGGGCGUAAAGAGCUCGUAGGCGGUGUGUCGCGUCGGUCGUGAAAACUUGGGGCUUAACCCUGAGCUUGCGGUCGAUACGGGCAUCACUGGAGUUCGGCAGGGGAGACUGGAAUUCCUGGUGUAGCGGUGAAAUGCGCAGAUAUCAGGAGGAACACCGGUGGCGAAGGCGGGUCUCUGGGCCGAUACUGACGCUGAGGAGCGAAAGCGUGGGGAGCGAACAGG
rnacentral:rRNA from 1 species